UUGACACCACAUAUUAGAUCUAUAUAUAUUUGUGUCCUUUAUUCCUCUUAUAGUUCCCAAAUCUCUUAGUUUGGAAAAAGAAAAAAAAAAUCCUACUCCAUAAAUAGAUUUUUGAGGGAAAAAAUGGUUGAAUCUACGACUAUGGCCAUGAAGCUAGAAGAACAAUUAGUAAAUAUAGAGGAAGAGAAAAGUGAUGAGAAACCAAGAGAAUUGUUUCUAGCAGAGCUGAAUCUUGUUCUUAUUCUCUCAUUUCUUUAAUUAUCAUCUGAAGAACGUAGUUUUGAGGAAUUGGAGAUUGACAAAGAUCACGAAGAACACAACAUUGUUUCUAAUGUAAAUUUCAGAAAACGAGGAGGAAUGAAUAAUUACCGGGCUACUGAACCACAAAUGCCCAGGUUCCAGACCAAGAUUAGGGACUGCAGACACAGCAGAAGAAUGUGAGGAAUCAACACACUUGGGGCAUAGCAAGAAUUAAGAGGUCUUUUGACUCUUUUCCAUUUAUGGAUAGAGAAAAAUGAAGAGACGAGAGUCAGAAAACAGGAAAGAAGAUAGAAAAAACGAAAGACAGGCUUUUGAAUGGCAAACAUUUCUAUUCAACUCUACGAAAGCAUUCUACAAUUCUACUCAAUACUUUGAAACCGUGUUUCAGUAUUUUAUAGAGCAUUUCGUUACAAAUCAGCAUAGCAAAAACUACUUGAUAUGAAACUUUUUACCCCCAUAUAAUUUACAUAGGUCAUUUCCCUUUAUCCGAGAACAUCCACUAGGGAAUGGAAUAAAGGGGUUUACACCCUCUAUCUUUCCUUUUAGACAUCUCAUUUUCCAAGAGCAUCUUUUAUCUAAUAAGCGAAAAAAUCUCAUAGUCAAUGGCACAUGGUUCAAAAUUCAAUAAAUAACUCGCUUGCCCCUCUAACCUAUUCCACUUUAAUAUAAUGCUUUUGUCCAUAUGUCAGGAUUCGAAAUAUGAGGUGCACCUAACAUAAACAUCAUCAGUAACUGCACUCUUACCACUAGGCCAAAGCAAGGAGCAUCUUAUACAUCGAUUUAAACAACUAUAGGCAGAGGAAUAAAGGGAUUUUGUCUUUCUACACUGAAUUAAACAACUAUAGGCAACGGAAUAAAGGGUGUUUUUUCCUCAUCUGGAUUAUUUCCCUUUCGUUGAUUAUCCAAGAACAUCAAUGUGCCCAUGUAAACAAUUGUAGGCAAGGGAAUAAGGGGUUUACUUCUCUAAUGGAUUUAGCAGCUAUACACAGAAUAUUUGAAUACUAUGGCAAGACCAGCUUUUGCAUCACUGGAACACAGUGCACAAAUGGCCUACAAACUUGUAUAAUUCCUAAUAACUGAUCGUAUAACAAAAGUAAGCGGUUAAAAACACAUGAAUACUUGUAUUCUCUCACUAACAUGGGCACUCAAAUUAUUCAUUAGACUAUUCUUGAUAAUUUCUUAUUGACAACACUAAGAUAGCAAUAAGCAGAUACAGUAAGGAAGUUCUAAACACAGGCUAGAACAGGACUCUAAAUUCUCCAUCUAGACUAUGCAACCACCAUGUUAUUGUAACCUUUGUAUCCUUGCCUACAAAAUUAUCAUAUGCAUGAAAAAAAUACUGGAGCUUCUCUUCAUUAGUCAGAUAUUCUGAUCUCAACUCCCAAUAGGUCCUUCACUUGCUCAUAUGCCACAAAA